UACGGAAGGGGCGAGCGUUGUUCGGAAUCAUUGGGCGUAAAGGGCGCGUAGGUGGUUCUGUAUGUCUACCGUGAAAGCGUACGGCUCAACCGUAUUUUGUCGGUAGAAACUGCAGGACUUGAGGCUGGGAGGGGCUGGUGGAAUUCCCUGUGUAGCGGUGAAAUGCGUAGAGAUGGGGGGAGAACACUCGUGGCGAAGGCGGCCAGCUAGACCAGUUCUGACACUGAGGCGCGACAGCGUGGGGAGCAAACAGG
rnacentral:rRNA from 1 species